CCCAACUGUCUCUCUGUCUCCCUCUAACUCAGAAAACAGAGGAACGAAUUACAAAUCUUUACUCGGUCGAACAUCUCGAGGUUUCUUGGUCUUUCAAAUGGAGAAAUCUAAUUGUAGUAGAGCGAGGCAGAUCCUCGACAGUUUGGUUAGCUUCUUGCGGAAAUUCAUUUUCCGUAUUCUUUCUAUGGGUCCCUUACCUAAUCACAUUGCUUUCAUAAUGGAUGGGAAUCGAAGAUAUGCUAAGAAGCUGAAUUUGAUAGAUGGGGCUGGCCAUAAGGUUGGGUUCUUGGCUGUCACGUCCAUGCUCAAAUUUUGCUAUGAGUUGGGUGUAAGAAAUGUAACAAUUUAUGCCUUCAGCAUUGAUAAUUUUAAACGGAGCCCUGAAGAAGUUCAAUCCUUGAUGGAGUUAAUGCAGGAAAAGAUAGAAGGAUUGAUUAAGGAUGAGAGCAUUGUCAACUGUUAUGGAGUAAGAGUUUACUUUGUAGGGAAUCUAAAACUCUUGAGUGAACCUGUUAGGUUGGCAGCAGAGAGGGCUAUGCUGGCUACUGCAAAAAAUUCCAAAGCUGUUCUGUCAAUCUGUGUCGCCUACACUUCAACCAACGAAAUUGUUAAUGCUGUUGAGGAAUCAGUUGAAGAGAAAUGGAAUCAAAUUACUGUACUAGAAGCUAGUGGAGCAGGUUAUGGUUUAAUUAAACUUGGAGGGAUUGAACAUCAUGAAAGUGAGCCCCUUAUAAAACUUGUAGAUAUAGAAAAGCAUAUGUAUAUGGCAGUUGCACCUGAUCCGGAUAUCAUAAUCCGUACUUCUGGUGAGGCCCGUUUGAGCAAUUUUCUUCUAUGGCAGAGUGCAUUCUGCUAUCUGUAUUCACCUUCUGUACUCUGGCCAGAGAUUGGCUUGCGCCACUUUCUUUGGGCAAUAUUAAACUUUCAGCGACACCACUCAUAUUUGAACAAAAAAGGGGAACAAUUACAGCAUCUUUUGCAGGAUGGCUUCUGACCUUUUAAGACUUUUAUUUGAUUCUUGGUUUAUCACUUCUUGUUCUUGAAUUACUCUCAGCGACGGUAAAAGAUUACAACAUGGGCUGGAACUUGUUUUUGGUGUCCCGGCUGUUGGUACAUUCCCUAGAAAAUACGAAUACAGUAUAUUGAUCAGCAAAGAAGGAAAAUACUUUCUGAGACUGCAGUAUGUGUUUCUGCAACCAAGUUUGGGCAUACAUUGACGGUUGUAGUUUAUAUUUUCCAUGAAUUACGGGUGAUCUACUUUAUGUUUAAUAUACUCAAGAUAUCAGUUAGAACGGCCAUUAAUAUUUCUACUGCCUCUGUCUCAGAGAUUUCUUCAGAGUAGAAUAGACUAGGGUGUUUCAUUUGAAAGACCAAAAUACAAUCGCAGCCAAAAUUGUGACCUCUCUUCAGUUAUUGAUUGGAGAAGAAAAGAAGUGACAGAGGCAGCGGCUGAAGUUUUUACAUGACAACAUAGUGACCAUCUGGGUCAGACAUUAAAAUUUUGUCUGUGUUUCUAUUAUCUAUAUAAAUAGAGCGUCGGGUAAGAGCCCUUCUAAAAUCACUGAGCGAUUUCAGGUGAACGGUCUAGUCAUAUGCAUUGUUGGAACCAUAGCCCAAUGCUAAGUAAGUUUUUGUGAACCAUUGCCUCGGAGACUUACUUUUUUA